AACGAACGCUGGCGGCAGGCCUAACACAUGCAAGUCGAACGCCCCGCAAGGGGAGUGGCGCACGGGUGAGUAACGCGUGGGAAUAUGCCCUUCGGUUCGGAAUAACACAGGGAAACUUGUGCUAAUACCGGAUACGAUCUACGGAUGAAAGAUUUAUCGCCGAGGGAGUGGCCCGCGUAGGAUUAGCUAGUUGGGGAGGUAAUGGCUCACCAAGGCGACGAUCCUUAGCUGGUCUGAGAGGAUGAUCAGCCACACUGGGACUGAGACAUGGCCCAGACUCCUACGGGAGGCAGCAGUGGGGAAUAUUGGACAAUGGGCGAAAGCCUGAUCCAGCCAUGCCGCGUGAGUGAUGAAGGCCUUAGGGUUGUAAAGCUCUUUCGCCAGGGAAGAUAAUGACGGUACCUGGAAAAGAAGCCUCGGCUAACUCCGUGCCAGCAGCCGCGGUAA
rnacentral:rRNA from 1 species